rnacentral:rRNA from 1 species
UACGAAGGGUGCAAGCGUUACUCGGAAUUACUGGGCGUAAAGCGUGCGUAGGUGGUGAGUUAAGUCUGUCGUGAAAGCCCCGGGCUCAACCUGGGAAUGGCGAUGGAUACUGGCUCGCUAGAGUGCGGUAGAGGAGAGUGGAAUUCAUGGUGUAGCAGUGAAAUGCGUAGAGAUCAUGAGGAAGACCAGUGGCGAAGGCGGGUC